rnacentral:rRNA from 1 species
AACACAUGUCUUUUUGAUAAAAAUUUAAAGUCCGGUCUGCUCACUGAAUUAUUUUAAAGAGCCGCAGUAUAUUGACUGUGCAAAGGUAGCAUAAUCAAUAGUUUUUUAAUUGAAAACUAGAAUGAAAGAUUAGACGAAAAAUUAAUUUUCUUUAUUUUAAUAAAUUUAAUUUUAAAUUUAAGUGAAAAUGCUUAAAUAUAAUUAAAAGACGAGAAGACCCUAUAGAUUUUUAUUAUUGAAAUAAAUUUUUAAAUUUAANUUUAAUAAAAUAAUUUAAUUGGGGCGAUUUUAUAAUAUAAAUAACUUAAUUUUUUAAAACCAUAAAUAAUUGAAUNGUUUGAUCUAAAAUUUUUAAAGGAAAGAUUAAAUUACCUUAGGGAUAACAGCGUAAUUUUAUUUAAGAGUUCAUAUCUAUAAUAAAGUUUGCGACCUCGAUGUUGAAUUAAGAUAAUAUAUUGGAGUAGAAAUUAAUAUAAUUAGUCUG